rnacentral:rRNA from 1 species
ACGCUCGACACCUACGGGAAGCAGCAGUGGGGAAUAUUGCACAAUGGGGGAAACCCUGAUGCAGCGACGCCGCGUGAGCGAAGAAGUAUUUCGGUAUGUAAAGCUCUAUCAGCAGGGAAGAAACUGACGGUACCUGACUAAGAAGCACCGGCUAAAUACGUGCCAACAGCCGCGGUAAUCUGAGCGGGCUGGCAAGGC